AUUAAAGGUGGGGAUCCUUCGGGCCCUGCUGCUUGGAGAGGAGCUCGCGUCCCAUCAGCUUGUUGGUAGGGUAACGGCCUACCAAGGCAUACGGGUAGCCGGCCUGAGAGGGUGACCGGCCACACUGGGACUGAGACACUGCCCAGACUCCUACGGGAGGCUGCAGUCGAGGAUCAUUCGCAAUGCGCGAAAGCGUGACGAUGCGACGCUGCGUGGAGGAUGACGGCCCUAGGGUUGUAAACUCCUGUCAUGAGGGAACAGCCGGCAAAGGGAUAAUACCCCUUCGCUCCGAUGGUACCUCAAGAGGAAGCCACGGCUAACUCUGUGCCAGCAGCCGCGGUAAUACAGAGGUGGCGAGCGUUGUUCGGAUUUACUGGGCGUAAAGGGUGCGUAGGUGGUUUCGUAUGUCGGAUGUGAAAGCCCGGGGCUCAACCCCGGAACUGCAUUCGAAACUGCGGGACUAGAGUACAGGAUGGGAGAGCGGAAUUCUUGGUGUAGCGGUGAAAUGCGUUGAGAUCAAGAAGAACACCGGCGGCGAAGGCGGCUCUCUGGAAUGUUACUGACACUCAUGCACGAAAGCUGGGGUAGCAAACAGGAUUAGAUACCCUGGUAGUCCCAGCUGUAAACUGUGUGCACUUGGUGUUGGCGGUAUUGACCCCGCCAGUGCCGGAGUUAACGCGUUAAGUGCACCGCCUGAGGAGUACGAUCGCAAGGUUAAAACUCAAAGAAAUUGACGGGGGCCCGCACAAGCGGAGGAGCGUGUGGCUUAAUUCGAUGCAACGCGAAGAACCUUACCUGGGUUUGACAUCGGAGAGGCUUGCCUCUAGCGCGUGAAAGCGCGUUAACCAGACAGGUGCUGCAUGGCUGUCGUCAGUUCGUGCCGUGAGGUGUUGGGUUAAGUCCCGCAACGAACGCAACCCUUAUGUUUAGUUGCCACCCCCGAGCAAUCGGGGCGCACUCUAGACAGACUGCCCGUACAAGCGGGAGGAAGGUGGGGAUGACGUCAAGUCCGUAUGGCCCUUACACCCAGGGCUGCACACGUGCUACAAUGGUCGGUACAGAGGGAUGCUACACCGCGAGGUUACGCAAAUCCC
rnacentral:rRNA from 1 species